rnacentral:rRNA from 1 species
CGGCGGACGGGUGAGUAACACGUGGAUAACCUACCUAUAAGACUGGGAUAACUUCGGGAAACCGGAGCUAAUACCGGAUAAUAUAUUGAACCGCAUGGUUCAAUAGUGAAAGACGGUUUUGCUGUCACUUAUAGAUGGAUCCGCGCCGCAUUAGCUAGUUGGUAAGGUAACGGCUUACCAAGGCAACGAUGCGUAGCCGACCUGAGAGGGUGAUCGGCCACAUUGGGACUGAGACACGGCCCAAACUCCUACGGGAGGCAGCAGGC